rnacentral:lncRNA from 1 species
CUCGUAUUUGAAGCUGUCUGGUAGAUGUUGUAUGCGGUGAAACCUGUGGCAUGCAAUUGAUUGGGACCCAUAAAACAUCUCAAAUUUUAAGGAUUUCCUGAUUUUACUUAAAUCCAUUCAAAUAUUCUACAGGAAAACUUAGUUUUGCCGAAGAAUUUCUUUAUUCAGAAGUUUAUGAAUACCUGAACACACUUUUGAAAUAACCAAUUUAUAUAAAAAGGUAUGUAGAUG